UACGGAGGGUGCAAGCGUUAUCCGGAUUCACUGGGUUUAAAGGGUGCGUAGGUGGGUUUGUAAGUCAGUGGUGAAAUCUCCAAGCUUAACUUGGAAACUGCCGUUGAUACUAUAAAUCUUGAAUGUUGUGGAGGUGAGCGGAAUAUGUCAUGUAGCGGUGAAAUGCUUAGAUAUGACAUAGAACAUCGAUUGCGAAGGCAGCUCGCUACACUAUCAUUGACACUGAGGCACGAAAGCGUGGGGAUCAAACAGG
rnacentral:rRNA from 1 species